rnacentral:misc_RNA from 1 species
CCCAACUAUCCCUAUUAAUCAUUACGUCAACCCUAGAAACCAACAAAAUAGGAUCGAUCGUCCUAUUUCAUUAUUCCAUGCUAAUGUAUUCAAGCGUUAGCUUGCUUUAAACACUCUAAUUUUUUCAAAGUAACAGUCCUGUUUCCCCGCAACACCAACUUAAUGGCAUUACGGUUCUACAAGAGGGAGGAAUCAGCGAGACCAGUGCAUACCAGUGGCACGACCAACCUGCUGACCCCGAAAUUCAACUACGAGCUUUUUAACUGCAACAACUUUAAUAUACGCUAUUGGAGCUGGAAUUACCGCGGCUGCUGGCACCAGACUUGCCCCCAA